rfam:Myotis brandtii contig217479, whole genome shotgun sequence.
GGCAGCUCUCGGGUGACGCACCUCAGAAUCAGGCUCCCUCCUCUCUGGUUCCCAGUGCGUCACCUGAGAACCAUA